GGAAUUGUUCGCAAUGGGCGCAAGCCUGACGACGCAACGCCGCGUGGAGGAUGAAGGUCUUCGGAUUGUAAACUCCUGUUGCUCGGGACGACAAGCUCCGACCUCACACGUCGGAGUCUGACGGUACCGGGUGAGGAAGCCCCGGCUAACUCUGUGCCAGCAGCCGCGGUAAUACAGAGGGGGCAAGCGUUGUUCGGAAUUACUGGGCGUAAAGGGCGCGUAGGCGGCCUUUUAAGUCGAACGUGAAAUCCCCGGGCUCAACCCGGGAACUGCGUCCGAGACUGAAAGGCUCGAAUCCGGGAGAGGGAUGUGGAAUUCCAGGUGUGGCGGUGAAAUGCGUAGAUAUCUGGAGGAACAUCGGUGGCGAAGGCGGCAUCCUGGACCGGUAUUGACGCUGAGGCGCGAAAGCCAGGGGAGCAAAC
rnacentral:rRNA from 1 species